rnacentral:rRNA from 1 species
CGGUAAUACGUAGGUGGCAAGCGUUAUCCGGAAUUAUUGGGCGUAAAGCGCGCGCAGGUGGUUUCUUAAGUCUGAUGUGAAAGCCCACGGCUCAACCGUGGAGGGUCAUUGGAAACUGGGAGACUUGAGUGCAGAAGAGGAAAGUGGAAUUCCAUGUGUAGCGGUGAAAUGCGUAGAGAUAUGGAGGAACACCAGUGGCGAAGGCGACUUUCUGGUCUGUAACUGAC